UCCUGAUGAUGAUAACUUUGUCCAGUUCUGCUGCUGAAGGGACAGCGAUGACAACUUACAAAGCUGAAGAAGA
rnacentral:snoRNA from 1 species